UACGUAGGGGGCAAGCGUUGUCCGGAAUCAUUGGGCGUAAAGAGCGUGUAGGCGGCCAGAUAAGUCCGCUGUGAAAUCUCGAGGCUCAACUUCGAGCUGUCGGUGGAAACUGUCUGGCUAGAGUCCGGAAGAGGAGAAUGGAAUUCCUGGUGUAGCGGUGGAAUGCGCAGAUAUCAGGAGGAACACCCAUAGCGAAGGCAGCUUGCUGGGACGUUACUGACGCUAAGGCGCGAAAGCGUGGGGAGCGAACAGG
rnacentral:rRNA from 1 species